rnacentral:lncRNA from 1 species
AAAAAUGUGAACUGAAUUUGCCUCUGCUCUGCUUUUAGAGGCACAAGGGUAUGCUUUCACAUGAGUAGACAUGCUAUCUAUGCCACGCAAGCUAUGUUAGUUUGAAUUGACUCAGACUACAUGAAUCCAAACUAGUGUGCUGCAUUCAACGCCUCUGAGAUUUAUUUGGAGUAAAAGAUCUGUGUCAGUCUAUGCACCAGAGCUCUUUUUCUUUCUCUUCCUUCACUCUUCAUGCACAUUUCAAGCUCUAUGGAAAAAUCUUAUGACAAAGCCUUCACAUAUGAAACUAUGAAGAUGAGGAUUGCCUGUUAAAUCUGUCUCAGUUUGGUAGUUUCCAAAAAGAUAAGAAGAAAGGAAGAGUGAGCAGGAAGAAAAGCAGUAAUAGGGAACUCAAAAGACUGAAGAAAGCAAAUGGAAGAAUAUGAGGUGAGGCCUGAAACUAACAGAGAAAAAAAAAAAAAAAAAAAAAAAGCCAUGUAGAGUUGUCUUCUGUUUUAAUAAUAUUAGCAUAGCCAUAUUUAAUAGGGUUAAAUAGGCCUAACAUUAUUUCAC